rnacentral:lncRNA from 1 species
UAUUUUUUUUUCUCACCAUCAUUCCCUCUCUCUCUCUAACCCAAAAUCCCCCCGCCUUCUCUCUAAACCAUGAUGAACGUCGACCUGAAAAACCAAAGAAACCUAGGACCUAACAAGUAAGCCCAGAUUCCGGCCAUGUCGCCGCCAUACGCCGCCGUUCGCUGUUGUUCAAACACAAAAAAAAACCCUUUUUUUCGUCCUCUUUCUAUAUCCUAACAUAGAUAUUUCAAAAUCUCACUAGAAAUCCACGAAUCUGAACUAGAAAGUCAUUAUUGUCACUGCCUGAAAUUUCUAUUCAGCAAGGCUUGAGCAACCCGAGGCUACCAGGAAUCCUUCUCUCUUCUCCCCACUAACCUAAGAAACAAGAAAGAAACCCUAAGAGCCUAACAAAACCGAAACAAAAAAAAGCCUACUGGCAGUCACUUUUGGACUUUUCCUUUGCUUCUGUUAUUGCUGGCAAAUUAUGUGUAUGAUUGUUGCAUUUUGUUGGCUUUCAGCUAUGUUGUGUGUGGUGAUUGUGGGUCAGGUGUGGUUGCUGGCUAUGGGCAAUUUCUGGGUAUAGCUGAAUGCUUUUAGGUUCGGUGGAAUUGUUGAGGCAAAUUGUUGCUCUGCAAUUGUCGACUCUGUUGAUGGUUCGAUCACUGGAAAAUUAUGGAUUUUUCUUCUUUACGUUUUUCUUAAAUUGUUUCCCUCCGAUUAUCAUCCGGAUUUUUUUUAUAGGGAAUCAAUCCCAAUCCAACUAGAUUUUCUAUCACAGAGAAUUCCAAAUCCAAUAAAUUUGUUGUUAUUUAAGAACUCUUGGGUUUGGGCUUUCAGUUUACAAGAGAUUCAAUCCCACAACUUUAUUUUCUCAAGAAUUUUAAUUCCAUACAAUUUCGGCUUUCAUUCAACCUUUCUGUUCUGAAUUUUCCUUUUUCUUUUUUUCAUUUUUCCUGUUUUUCAUUCAUUUUUAAUUUUUUUAAUUUUUUUCAAAAAUAACAGAAAAAUACAAUAAGAAUAUAAAAUAUAAAAAGGAAAUAAAAAACCAAAAUCCUAUCAAACCCAAAAUAAAAAUAAAAAACCAAUAAACAAACUAAAAUUCCAAAGCAAUUAAGGACUCAAAAAUUACGAAACUAGAUUUAAGUCAAUUUAAUCUAGUCUUAAAUCUCAAACUCAAGUUUUAAAACCGGCUUCAUAAAAUUUGAUCGUGCAUAAAUUGAUUUUAACUCAAAUUAGGACUAAGUUGAAUCAAGUUCAAUUAAUUCAAAAUUUCAAAAUAACUCCAAACAAAAUAGAAUUUUUACAGUUUUUUUUUCUUAUCUAUUAUGAAAUUAAAAUUGUACAAAAACAUAAAUAAUCAUUGCAUUCGAAUUUGAUUUAAAUUCGUAGAUUCUCAUAUGGAAUAUUAAAAUUUAAAAGUUUGUAAUUGAAAUUUGAAAAUUCACAUUUUAAUAUUUUAAAGAUUUACAUAAAAAUUUUGAAUAUUCAUAUUUAAAAAAUUUUUAUUCAAAAAAUUUAACAAUUUACAUUUAAAAUUUAAAAAUUUACAAUUAAAAUUUAAAUAUUCACAUCUAAAAAUUUUAAAAUUUAUUACCAAAAUUU